GAUUCGAAAACGAUAUAUUGUGUUAAAUUUCGACUUUAAUUUAGGAUUCUCCUCGAAUAA
rnacentral:tRNA from 1 species